AAGUCGUAACAAGGUUUCCGUAGGUGAACCUGCGGAAGGAUCAUUACCAAAGUAUUACUACUUACCACUUGUGAACGCUGUUCCGUCCUUGGGGGAGAGAGAAACAUCCUAGUGUGUUAACUCAUGCUUGUUUUUUUCUGUCUCCCCCAGCGGGGUGCCCGCCAGCUGCAUGCAGUUGUUGGUUCACCUACGCACUUAUGAUAACCACAUGUGAAAUGUUAAAAUUGGUGUUUGUACCUUUCUCUUUUUGAGAAAUCAAAAAGAUUGACAACUUUUAACGGUGGAUCUCUUGGCUCGU
rnacentral:misc_RNA from 1 species